rnacentral:lncRNA from 1 species
AGGAGGAGGGAGAGGAGGAAGGGAGGAAGCGCAACCGAGCCUCGUGGAUUGACCCGCCCGAGGAGGAUUACUCCACGCAGCUGACCCAGGCCGAGGUGGAGAGCUGCAUGAAGAAGUACGAGGACACCUUCCAGGACUACCAGGAGAUGUUCAUCCAGUUUGGCUACGUGGUGCUCUUCUCCUCGGCCUUCCCGCUGGCCGCCAUGUGCGCCCUGGUCAACAACGUCAUCGAGAUCCGCAGCGACGCCUUCAAGCUCUGCACGGGGCUGCAGAGACCCUUCGGCCAGCGCGUGGAGAGCAUCGGCCAGUGGCAGGUGGGCUCCUGCUCCUGCUCCUGGUUCUGACCCUGGUCCUGGUCCUGGUUCUGGUUCUGACCCUGGUAAUGGUCCUGGUUCUGGUUCUGACCUUGGUUCUGGUCCUGGUUCUGGUGCUGGUGCUAGUUCUGGUCCUGGUUCUGACCCUGGUAAUGGUCCUGGUUCUGGUUCUGACCCUGGUAAUGGUCCUGGUGCUGGUGCUGGUUCUGGUUCUGGUCCUGGUAAUGGUCCUGGUUCUGGUUCUGGUUCUGACCCUGGUAAUAGUCCUGGUUCUGGUCCUGAUCCUGGUCCUGAUCCUGAUCUUGGUCCUGAUCCUGGU